rnacentral:rRNA from 1 species
UACGUAGGGUGCGAGCGUUAAUCGGAAUUACUGGGCGUAAAGCGUGCGCAGGCGGUCUUGCAAGACAGAUGUGAAAUCCCCGGGCUUAACCUGGGAACUGCAUUUGUGACUGCAUGGCUGGAGUGCGGCAGAGGGGGAUGGAAUUCCGCGUGUAGCAGUGAAAUGCGUAGAUAUGCGGAGGAACACCGAUGGCGAAGGCAAUCCCCUGGGCCUGCACUGACGCUCAGUGCACGAAAGCGUGGGGAGCAAACAGG